UGGCGGCGCCGUGCGGGGUUGGGAGGCGGGCUCCGCUAGCAGGCCGCGCAUGCGUAAACUCGCGCCGGCUGGACGCUCCGCCACCCGGCUAUGCUGCUGCGGCCACUGUGGGGCCGGGUCUCCCGGGCGCUUCGCCGGGGACAGCGGAGGAGCCCCGCCUCGGCCGUGGGGCUGCGGGUGGCACAACACGGGACUUGGGCUCCCGAUGAAGAUACAGGAAAUGGAAAAGAGAAAAAAUCAGUGGCACAGUAUCCGAUUCUGAUGUGCAUUGUCUUCUGCCAGAUCUGUGUGGAGGGCAAUAUUGCUAGUGGGAAGACUACGUGCCUGGAAUUCUUCGCCAAUACAACAGGCAUUGAGGUAUUAACGGAGCCCGUGUCCAAGUGGAGAAAUAUUCAUGGCCAUAAUCCUCUGGCUCUGAUGUACGGUGAUGCCUUUCGCUGGGGCCUCACGCUGCAGACAUACGUGCAGCUCACCAUGUUGGAACAGCACACUCGCCCUCAGACGUUACCUGUACGGUUAAUGGAGCGGUCCAUCCACAGUGCAAGAUAUAUUUUUGUAGAAAACCUCUAUAGAAGAGGUGACAUGUCUGAAGUGGACUAUGUGAUUCUGUCAGAAUGGUUCAACUGGAUCUUGCGGAACAUUAAUGUGUCUGUUGACUUGAUAGUUUAUCUCCGGACCACUCCUGAGACCUGUUACCAGAGGUUAAAGAUGAGAUGCAGAGAAGAGGAGAAGGUCAUUCCACUGGAAUACCUUAAUGCUAUUCACCAACUCUAUGAGGAGUGGCUCACUAAAGGAAGCUGUUUCCCCAAGACAGCUCCCGUUUUGUGUAGGCAGGCUCAGAGCCUCACCCGCACCUUUUCUUGGUGACCCAAGGCAUCCGAAGGAACAUCAGUCGCUGUUCUGGGCUGUUACACAGUGAGGCCCUUAAGAGGUGCUGAAGUGAUCGAGGCUGACCACGAUAUACAGAAAAUGUCAGAAAUCUAUGAACAAAACCGGGACCGAAUAUUAACUGCAGGGACUCAGAAGCACAGCCCAUAAGGCAGGAAAGAUCCUGCCAGGAAAAGUGCUCUCUGCUGCUGUUAGGAGCGAUCUGGAAAAACCCACUCUUGGGAAGGCUUUCGAUCUGGUCAGGCUUGCUUUCCUGACAGUCUUUCUCCUUUACCUGUGUUUUCACCCUGCUUGUCUGGCCUUCAUGUCUGGCCAGUGGGCUUGUCAUUCCCUUUGAGAUUUGUAUCAUGGCAUACCCUUGUACUUCUGGUGGUUUCUCACAGCUGGAUCCCUUUAGCUAAGUCAGCUGAUGUGCUGGGCCCAUGGUCUCUAUCCUUUCAGACCAGCUGGGAGGUAGGCUUUUAUGUCCCAGGGGAGGAUGUUGAGGCUCAGAGAGGCUACAGACUCCUUCAAGGUCAUACAACCAUUGACAGUGAUGCCACAGAGUUUUGGCCCCCAACUGUCCCACCUCUGCAGAGGGACUCUCACAUCUGUGUGGGGAGAUCCAGCAGUGCGUUGGGCCAGUACCAUAAUUUUCUAAAUAUUUGAGGAUUUUUAGGGCAAAUUAGCAUCUCUAAGAUGAAGAGUUGUGCUGUGCUAUGCUGUCUUUGGCUUUACACAGUGCUCACUAGUUUUCUAGCAGGAGGCCACAUUUUACUACAUUUACUAUCACUUACCAAAGUUAUCAGGACUUUGAUGUCCUCAGAGGAAUGUCAUGCUGCCUCAUGCCUGGUAUGUGGCCUCUUUAGUGACAAAGGACCUACCUGAGCUGCUGCCUGUUCUCGGUCUUCUUUGGUUUGUCCAACGUUGAGCUAGGACAGGAGGCUGCCAGCCAUGACUUCUGGAGAUCCCUUCCUCUGUGGAGGUCUUGCAUGAGGACCUUCUCCUUUAGAGUUGUUGAGAAUUUAUGACUUGAGGAAGAGGAGACACAAGUGACCUUAAGUCUUUGACAAGCUGUUUCAACCUCUGAGAGGACACUUUGGGCCAUGGGACACAAAACCAUCUUUAUAUGUCUAGAAAACAUCUCCACUUUGUUCACCUGUCUCAGUGCAUUGAAGAAGGCACAGCUUCCUUUUGUUUCAAGUCAAGGAAGCAGGACAGACGAAGAACAUCCUUUGAGGGGCCAGUCUGGAUAGAAAAUUCUGGACCAGCAAGCAAAGGCUCUUCUUGAAACCCAGGUGCCCCUGUUGCCUUGGAGAUAGGUGGAAGAACUUUAAGGAAAAUGCUACAGACACCAGGGAAUGACUGUUAGGAACUUGGGAGGAACUGUCCUUGGCCUUUUCCCAACCAGCAGUUGGCUAUACAGGAAAGUUCGGGGUCCUGGUCUCAGCCCCUGUGUGAUGAACCAGCUGGGUGUGCAGUGGUGGUGGUGGUUGGCCCCCCAGUGGUCCUCCCCCAUGAGGCAUGCUGUGAGCACUAGCUCUUUGGUUCUGAGCCUUCCUGUCUAGAUUGAUUUUAGGGCUAUGUGCACAAGAUGAAAGGUGGCAGUCAGUGGGAACAUUUCACACUGAGGUGCUGCUUAAAUAUCAGUGAUUGACCAAAAACUGAAGAGGCAGGAACCUCUGCUACCAGAACUCCUGACAUGCUGGGGCAUUCUUUGGGAAUUGAUAAGUGAACAGUCCAGUGUUUUCUCUACAACUCAAUUUGAGCAUCUGUUUCAUUAUUUUUUGAAAUGUGUUAAAAUUAUUCUAUGGUAGCAAAUGAAUUUUAAUAAAACUUAUCAUCUAAAACCUGA